GAUGAACGCUGGCGGCGUGCUUAACACAUGCAAGUCGAACGAGAAGUGCAUACUUAAACCUUCCGGCGGAGGGCUUUAUUUCGAUUGGCGGACGGUUGAGUAACCCUUGGGUAACCUGCCUCCUACAGGGGGAUAACUGUUGGAGACGACGGUUAAUACCGCAUAAGAGCAGAGCACCGCAUGGUUCGGGGAUGAAAAGACCGGUGGUAUGAUCUGGACGCGCGUUCGAUUAUCCCGUUGGCGGGGUAACGGCCCAUCAAAGCGAAGAUCGAUAGCCGGUCUGAGAGGAUGCCCGGCGACAUUGGGACUGAGACACGGCCCAAACUCGUACGGGAGGAAGCAGUGGGGAAUAUUGCACAAUGGGGAAAACCGUGACGCAGCGACGCCGAGUGAGUGAAGAAGUAUUUAGGUAUGUAAAGCUCUAUCAGCAGGGAAGAAAAUGACGGUACCUGAGGAAGAAGCCCCGGCUAACUACGUG
rnacentral:rRNA from 1 species